rnacentral:rRNA from 1 species
AUUGAACGCUGGCGGCAGGCCUAACACAUGCAAGUCGAACGGUAACAGGAAGCAGCUUGCUGCUUCGCUGACGAGUGGCGGACGGGUGAGUAAUGUCUGGGAAACUGCCUGAUGGAGGGGGAUAACUACUGGAAACGGUAGCUAAUACCGCAUAACGUCGCAAGACCAAAGAGGGGGACCUUAGGGCCUCUUGCCAUCGGAUGUGCCCAGAUGGGAUUAGCUAGUAGGUGGGGUAACGGCUCACCUAGGCGACGAUCCCUAGCUGGUCUGAGAGGAUGACCAGCCACACUGGAACUGAGACACGGUCCAGAAUCCUACGGGAGGCAGCAGUGGGGAAUAUUGCACAAUGGGCGCAAGCCUGAUGCAGCCAUGCCGCGUGUAUGAAGAAGGCCUUCGGGUUGUAAAGUACUUUCAGCGGGGAGGAAGGGAGUAAAGUUAAUACCUUGGCUCAUUGACGUUACCCGCAGAAGAAGCACCGGCUAACUCCGUG